AGAGGUUGAGUUUUAGGUGAUGCGAGAUAGCAGACAGACAGGUAGAGAUACGGGAGGGGAUGGUGGAGUCAGAGGUGGGGAAGGAGAGGAAAAUCUGAGCAUCAUCAGCAUAGAAAUGGUAUGAGAAACCAUAGGAUGCGAUGAGGGGGCCCAGGGAGCGGGUGUAGAGAGAGAACAGGAGAGGACCCGAGACUGACCCUUGGGGGACUCUGGUUGAGAGAGGGUAAGGUGUGGAUGUUGCUCCACGCCAGGUUACCUGGUAAGUGCGGUUGGAAAGGUAGGAGGAGAACCAGGCCAGAGCAGUGCCAGAGAUUCCCAGGUCAGCGAGAGAGGAUAGUAGAAUAGAGUGAUCGACAGUGUCAAAGGCAGCAGAGAGGUCGAGGAGAAUUAGGACAGAGGAGAGAGAGGCAGCUCGGGCAGAGUUUAGUGAGUUAGUGACAGACAGGAGGGCGGUUUCAGUGGAGUGAGCAGAGCGGAAGCCAGAUUGGAGAGGGUCAAGCAGAGAGUGGUUGGACAGGAAAGCAGAGAGCUGGCGGUGUACAGUCCACUCGAGGGUUUUGGAGAGGAAGGGUAGGAGGGAGACAGGACGGUAGCUCUGGAGGGAGGUGGUUUGUCUCUACACAAUAGUAAGUAUUUAUUUUAAACCAAACUUAUUUAUUUUUACUUUCCCUUAUUUAACACACAGUUAUUAUUUACAAAAUGUAUUCUUUAACCCGACUUCAUUUUUGAUCCCAAACUCUUUACAUUAUUUUCUUUGUUUACCAUCCAGUUGGUUUACGUUGUCUUUUCACAUUUUCCUCGUUUUCUUUACCAGUCCCUCACAAUAUAUUGUGCAACUUUAUGGUCAUUAAUAUAAAUAAAUAUUUACACUUGCAAGUUGAAUACAGUAAUUACAUGUCUCUGCUUUUGUAAUAAAUGUCCAGAGUAGAUUGCUUCAGCUUUUUCGUGCUUUUCUCAAUGCAUGCUGUUUCAAUCUUGUUAACCAGUUCCAGGUAAUGACUGUGUGAAUUUGUGAUUGCCUUUCUGAACUCAUCCAGUGAAGGGGUAACUGGUUCUGUGCCUUCUACGUCCUCAUCACCAGAAAUGUCCUCAUCCUGUCCCCGUCACUGUCAAUGUCACUGGUUCAAUAAUGUCCUCGUCACUCAUAGUUGCUCAUGAAGAGGCUUGGUUUUAUUCAAAUUCAAUUCCCUCCAGUUUUGUUUAUGAUAUUCCCAGUGUAUCGCAUUCCUCUCUAACAGACAGCAUCUCAUUCUCUUGACCACCCUUUCCUGCACACCAUCCAGCAUGUUUAAAGUAGUUCACAUGUUUCUGACAUCUGCUCCCAUGCACUGCGUGUGAAUUGCAUGGCUUGCAGAAUGUCCACCUGGAUUAUGGUUGCUGCUGUCCAUGCACUCAUCUCUCUUAGUAGAAAUGUUCUGUACCAGGAUUUGAAGCAUGAAUAACCCCCUGGUCCAUGGGCUGUAGUUCACUCGUUGCAUUAGUGGGUAGAAAGUGCACAGUAACUGCUUUCAGGUCUGUGAAAGGGUAGUGUCACGGCCAAGGCUGGUUACCAGAGACCAAAAACUCAAGUUUAAGUGCUGAUGCACCCAAGCUGUGCUGUCCCGGUGCCCAUGCCGAAAACGCAACAUGCUGCUCUCAGCCUUUCCCUUAAACUAACCCUUCCCAACAAAUGGGGUUUUCCUUCCUUUAUGUACAUGUGGCCAUUCCCCAAAUAGCACUCAAUUACCUAAUUAGAGAAUGGCCACACCUGUCACUGUGGAGGGAUAUAUUUAACCCCAUCUCUGCCAAAUGUGCAUUUACACAGCUAACACAUCACACUAUUUACAGGUCCGCCCUGCCACACACCUCUUCCCUUGUGCAAAACACACAUGGCCACCACCGGCCACCUCCCUCAUUGAUUAACUCCAUCCCACGUGGGUCGGAGGGAAUGUUGGAGCUCAGCCAGCCCCAGUCAAGGACUAGAUGGACAGGGCUGCCCUCACCAACCCAGACACCCUGUUGUCUGGUGCCAGCUGGCCCCAACAUUGUCUCCUGGUCUUCUGUGGUGACCCUUGCCUUCUGUAAGGAGGUGCCCGAUUAACUCCCUUUCUACCCCCUAAGCCCGGUGUCCCAUUUGUCCGAUCUCGGGGCUGCUCUCCAGAGAAUAAAAGUGCUUCACUGUAGUCAAAAUGCUCCAUGUUGGUGAUGUGUGUCUUACGCACAGUCAGUGGCUAUGACACCGUGCCUCUUUCUAUACAGGUAAGACUGUGGGCUAAUAUGUGGGAUUACUCUUAGCACACAAUGAACAUUCAGUACAUAAUCUCUCUGUAGGGCCGUUAAAGUUGUAGAUCCAAUUUUUGUGACAGUCAAACUCUGACUGUCCGUGUUGUCUUGUGUCAGAGCUGUUCUCCAGGGUGACUCUGACAGCCUCUCCAGGAGCCACAGUGAAGGAGGGAGAGGCUCUUAACCUGACCUGUGAGGCAGCAGUGAACAAAACCCCCCGCCCUGAACUCCACUACACCAUUGUGAGAGACGGGGAGCCUGUGACUAACAGCACUGACUCUGCACUGUACAGCAUAGCCAGCACUGAGAAGAGCCACACUGGGAGCUACACGUGUGCUGUGGAGUCACAGGGAGUGAAGAAGAGCAGCCAGGAGCUACACAUUGAAGUGCAAACGUCCUGGCACAGCGCUGUUGCUAUUGGCUACAGAGUGAGCUUCACUCUGAUUCAUUUCAUUGUGUUCACUCUGCUGCUCCUUCAAUACUGCAGGAUCCAAGGUUCCCUGUGUAUUGCUGGUGGUACAUCACGGUAAGACAGUAUUGACCAGUGUGUGUCCAGCCAGGGGGCAGCACUCGCUAUCUCUACCUGUCAUCAUCCUUUACAGCACUGAAAAUGGAGAUGGAAACUUUCUGACUCGCUCUUUAAGAAUCCCUCUUGCAAACUCACCUUCACUUUGACCUGUGUCCUGAAAUGCUGUAUUGGGUUAAUUUGGCUUUUUUGGUUUCCAGAUGAUAAAGAUUCAUUAUCAUUAUUAUUUGAUUCAAGUUCAAUCCAGGGUAUUUAAAAAAUAACCCUUUCAUCAGUAAUGUCACAAAGCUGCUGCCUCCACAGAGUGUCUUUACAGUUGAUACACAGCUGCUCCUUACCCUGAAAUGCACUCUGUGAUUUCAAUGGGACUUGAUUACUCUGAAGCCUAGAAGUGUCAUCAUCCUUUAAAGCUUCUGUUAUUGCUGCAGUUAAACUCUGACCCCUCCUUGUGUGUCUCUGACAUCUGUCUCAGGAAAACCUCGGAUCAGGAUCAGGAGCAGUCAGCAGAGAGGAUUGAGCUCUGCAGCCGUGUGCAGCACACUGGAGUGGAACUGCAAUAGUAUUGUACUGUCGUACUGAAGAUCAGCCUGACUGCCAUGUUUUAGAACUACUGUGAAUAUCUGUUCAAACUGCGGCUGUAGUUUACAGAAAAUGACCAUUGACUGGGGUAUUUUCUAAGACCUCAAAACAAAUGGAUUAUUCAUUGAUUGUUUGAUUGAAUUCAUUUAUUUAAUAGAUUGCUUGAUUGCACAGUGUAACUUGAAGUGCAUUACUGAAUAAUGUAUGUAUUCAUAAGCUAUCCUUUAGUCAAUAAACUGCUUUAUUCUA